ACGCUGGCGGCGUGGAUAAGACAUGCAAGUCGAGCGAGAKUUUUUCCUGUAGCAAUACAGGGAAACGUCUAGCGGCGAACGGGUGCUUAACACGUGGGCAAUCUGCCGAGAAGUGGGGGAUAGCUCGCCGAAAGGCGAAUUAAUACCGCAUGUGAUUAGAGUGGACAUCCAUUCAAAAUCAAAGUCGGGGCAACCUGACGCUUUUUGAGGAGCCCGCGGCCUAUCAGCUAGUUGGUGAGGUAACGGCCCACCAAGGCUUUGACGGGUAGCUGGUCUGAGAGGACGACCAGCCACACUGGGACUGAGACACGGCCCAGACACCUACGGGUGGCAGCAGUCGAGAAUUUUUCUCAAUGGGGGAAACCCUGAAGGAGCGACGCCGCGUGGAGGAUGAAGGCCUUCGGGUUGUAAACUCCUGUCAUUUGGGAACAAGUCGUAAAUAUUAACUGUAUUUGCGUUGAUAGUACCAGAAGAGGAAGAGACGGCUAACUCUGUGCCAGCAGCCGCGGUAAUACAGAGGUCUCAAGCGUUGUUCGGAUUCAUUGGGCGUAAGGGUGCGUAGGCGGCGCGGUAAGUCGGAUGUGAAAUCUCGGGGCUUAACUCCGAAACUGCAUUCGAUACUGCCGUGCUUGAGGACUGGAGAGGAGA
rnacentral:rRNA from 1 species